UUAGUGAUCAUACCCUGGGGAGUAUAGUGAUUAUAGCAAUCCCCAGAGUGUAUUUCUCCAAUCCCCCAAACAUGAGCCAUGGCUUAAUGCUGGAACAAGACUGAUUUACUGGCACACAGAACUCACAAUUUAUGCAACACAAAACUCCUCCUCUGGGCCAGGCUAGAUAAUUGAGUUUCUACAAUACACAAAGUUCAAUUAUCUG